CAGUGGGGAAUAUUGGACAAUGGGCGAAAGCCUGAUCCAGCCAUGCCGCGUGUGUGAAGAAGGUCUUCGGAUUGUAAAGCACUUUAAGUUGGGAGGAAGGGCAUUAACCUAAUACGUUAGUGUUUUGACGUUACCGACAGAAUAAGCACCGGCUAACUCUGUGCCAGCAGCCGCGGUAAUACAGAGGGGGCAAGCGUUAAUCGGAAUUACUGGGCGUAAAGCGCGCGUAGGUGGUUUGUUAAGUUGGAUGUGAAAUCCCCGGGCUCAACCUGGGAACUGCAUUCAAAACUGACUGACUAGAGUAUGGUAGAGGGUGGUGGAAUUUCCUGUGUAGCGGUGAAAUGCGUAGAUAUAGGAAGGAACACCAGUGGCGAAGGCGACCACCUGGACUAAUACUGACACUGAGGUGCGAAAGCGUGGGGAGCAAACA
rnacentral:rRNA from 1 species